UACGAAGGGGGCUAGCGUUGCUCGGAAUUACUGGGCGUAAAGGGCGCGUAGGCGGACAGUUUAGUCAGAGGUGAAAGCCCAGGGCUCAACCUUGGAAUUGCCUUUGAUACUGGCUGUCUUGAGUACGGGAGAGGUGUGUGGAACUCCGAGUGUAGAGGUGAAAUUCGUAGAUAUUCGGAAGAACACCAGUGGCGAAGGCGACACACUGGCCCGUUACUGACGCUGAGGCGCGAAAGCGUGGGGAGCGAACAGG
rnacentral:rRNA from 1 species